GUGAGGUAACUGUCACUGACAGGGACCAGCCUGCCUCUGUCCUUUGGAUGCACAAAGGCUCUCCAGCUGCAGGACUGUCUCCAGUGUGCUUACCUCUUGGGAGCUGCACAGAGCUUUCAGUCUGCAGAGGAGCCCAAAGAGCCCUGACCUGAGUCCCUUGCAGCUGGAUGGACAAAGAGGAGAAGAAAGGGAAGAACAAAUUAGCCCAGACUUACAGCCCUCCUCAGGCUCCCCCAUCUCUCCUGGCUUUGGCUGUGCUCUCUGGCACUACCUGGAGAAGAAAGAGGCAGACACUUGGAGCACUGCAGGCACUCAAUCAGCACUGGCAUUUCACCAAGGAAGGCACCGGCCCCAGCCUGGGGAGAGCCCAGACCUCACCCUCUGCCUGCUUGGUCUCUUCAGCUGCUCUGUCUAGCUGAGGAUAAGCUACUCACAGGGGUUUAGAGCUGUUCACCCCUCCCCAGAAGCUGCCUUCAGCCAAUCUGCAGCUGUCUGGAGGUCUUUUUCUCACAAGCAAGGCUCCCCCUCUUUAGCUGCUUCUCCUGGCAGCUGUUGUGCAUCCCAGAACAAGGGCAGGCUGUAGCUUGGAGAGCAGCUGCAGGGUGUUUACAGACAGCCAGGGGCUUGCUCUGCUCUGGAUGUGCU